UACGGGGGGUGCAAGUGAUAUUCGGAAUCAUGGGGCGUAAAGAGCGCGUAGGCGGUAUUCUAUGUCAGGUGUGAAAGCCCGGGGCUCAACCUCGUACGUGCACUUGCAACUGGGAGCCUUGAGUAUGGGAGAGGGGAGUGUGAUUCCUGGUGUAGCGGUGUAAUGCGUAGAUAUCAGGAGGAACACCGGUGGCGAAGGCGACUUCCUGGACCAAUACUGACGCUGAGCCGAGAAAGCGUUGGGAGCAAACAGG
rnacentral:rRNA from 1 species